rnacentral:lncRNA from 1 species
UUCUACAGCUAACCAAUGGUAAUCAUGUGACGCUUGUUGAGAGUGCGUGUUCAUUCAACAGACUGUUGGUAAAGAACCAAAAUAACAAGAACACAAAACAAGGAAAGAAGGCUUGAGAGCAGAUACUUUCAUUAUUUCCAUGCAUGGAAACUGAAAUGAUAAUGUUCCUUGUGUAGAGAUCAAGACACUUUGUUCCCAAGGUGAUGUGAAAUGGUGCGAAGUUCUGUGUAUGUCUUCUGCCUUCACUAUACUAAACCACUACUGCAUGGAUCUUCAGUAUCUUCAGUUAGUACUGGAACUGUGAUGACACUGAGGAAAUAUUCUACAAUCUGCACCAUGGUUACCAUUGAAUAGGGAUUCUCACAUAGCAAUUGCUGUACAAUGUAAUGCCAGCAUGUAUGUUUUUCUAAGCAAGCGACAAGGUGUGUCAAGGCAGAAGCUGUACAUCUGGACAGGAUGAGAGUGGUUGUAUUCCAAUGGCUGUAAGCAUGAAAUCACCUGGCCUUGUGUGGAAGACAUCUAUGAAUCGAUGAACCAGAUGUUUACCUCUUAUUUAGAUUACCGAGGUUAUGACUGAUGGAACAACUUGUUUUACAUGCAGUCCGGUGAGAUUGUGUACCAUGUUGCUGCAGUAGGCAUAUUGUACAGUAGGGAGAAAAAUACUCAACGAUUUUAUCUCGAACAUACAGACGAUAUACUCUGUCUCUCUCUAUACAUCCUCUCAAAGAUCUUAUAGCUACUGGACAGGUUGGUAG